rnacentral:rRNA from 1 species
UACAUGUGGGGCAAACGUUGUUCGGAAUUACUGGGCAUAAAGGGUGCGUAGGUGGCUUGUUAAGUCAGGGGUGAAAGUUUUCGGCCCAACCGGAAAAUGGCCUUUGAUACUGGCGAGCUCGAGUGCGUGAGGGGUAACCGGAACGAGCAGUGUAGCGGUGAAAUGCGUAGAUAUUGCUCGGAAGGCCAACGGCGAAGGCAGGUUACUGGUGCGCAACUGACACUGAGGCACGAAAGCGUGGGGAGCAAACAGG